UCGGGGGCCGACGCCUGCGCCCAGCGCCGGCCGGAGCCGCGCAGGUUCACAGACGCCCGGGCCUGCGCACCUUGCGAGCCGGGCGCAGGUGUCCUCGCACGCAGCUCCUUUCGCUGCAGGCCUUGGCCCUAACCGGCGUGUUGUGCCUGCCGCGGACGCGUUCGGACCUGGGCUGUCUCUCUGGAGACUGUACCCAGCAUUGGGCCGAGUGAGGGCGUUGCCUAGGCGACUGCAGCAUGCGGCCCGCGGCCCUGAGUGGGAGCCUGCGGCGGGCGGAGGCCGAUCUGCCUCCCUGCCUGCUCCGCCUGGGACCCGCGACCGUGUCCACUAAAGGAACCGCACCGCUCCGGGGUCGCUAGUUGGCCGGCCAGCGUUUUUUACACCUGCGAGACAGAUGCAUUUCGCCUCACGUUUGUUUCCAAGUUGACGAUCUUUGGGCCUUCCGAGCAAGAAGAAUUCCUACUGUUUUUGAAUCAAAAUGGAAAAAUAUGAGAACCUAGGAUUGGUUGGAGAAGGGAGCUAUGGGAUGGUGAUGAAGUGUAGGAAUAAAGAUAGUGGAAGAAUUGUGGCCAUCAAGAAGUUCUUAGAAAGUGAUGAUGACAAAACGGUUAAAAAAAUUGCUAUGCGAGAAAUCAAGUUACUAAAGCAACUGAGGCAUGAAAAUCUGGUGAAUCUGUUGGAAGUGUGUAAGAAAAAAAAACGAUGGUACCUAGUCUUUGAAUUUGUUGACCAUACAAUUCUUGAUGACUUGGAGCUCUUUCCCAAUGGACUAGACUACCAACUGGUUCAAAAGUAUUUGUUUCAGAUUAUUAAUGGAAUUGGAUUUUGUCACAGUCACAAUAUUAUACACAGAGAUAUAAAGCCAGAGAACAUAUUAGUCUCCCAGUCUGGUGUUGUCAAGUUAUGUGAUUUUGGAUUUGCACGAACAUUGGCAGCUCCUGGGGAAAUUUAUACUGAUUAUGUGGCAACCCGAUGGUACAGAGCCCCAGAACUAUUGGUCGGUGAUGUCAAGUAUGGCAAGGCUGUUGAUGUAUGGGCCAUUGGUUGUCUGGUAACUGAAAUGCUCAUGGGGGAACCCCUUUUUCCUGGAGAUUCUGAUAUUGAUCAGCUAUAUCAUAUUAUGAUGUGUUUAGGUAAUCUAAUUCCAAGACAUCAGGAGCUGUUUUAUAAAAAUCCUAUGUUUGCUGGAGUAAGGUUGCCUGAAAUCAAGGAAAUAGAACCUCUUGAAAGACGCUAUCCCAAGCUUUCUGAAGUUGUGAUAGAUUUAGCAAAGAAAUGCUUACAUAUUGACCCAGACAAAAGACCCUUCUGUGCUGAGCUCCUUCACCAUGAUUUCUUUCAUAUGGAUGGAUUUGCUGAGAGAUUUUCUCAAGAAUUACGGUUAAAAAAAGUACAGAAAGAUGCCAGAAAUAUUUCUUUAUCUAAAAAACCCCAAAACAGAAAGAAGGAAAAGGAAAAGGAUGAUUCCUUAGGUGAAGAGAGAAAAACACUUGUGGUACAGGAUACCAAUGCUGAUCCCAAAAUUAAAGAUUCUAAGGUAUUUAAAAUAAAAGGAUCAAAAAUGGAUGGAGAAAAAGUUGAAAAAGUCAGUCGAGCUUCAAAUGCCAGCAGUCUCCCUGACAAUGGGAUGAACAACAUCAAAACAGUGCCUUCUACAAGCCUCCGAGAUUGCAGCAAUGGCAGUAUGGAUCACACCAGAAAUCCAGGCGUGGCAAUUCCCCCACUUGCACACAAUCUUUCCGCAGUGGCUCCCAGUAUUAAUUCUGGAAUUGUGACUAUCCCAGGAGUUCAGAGUUACAGAGUGGAUGACAAAACCAAGAAGUAUUAUAUUCCAUUUGUUAAACCAAAUAAACAUUCUCCAUCAGGAAUUUAUAAUAUUAAUGUGACCACAUCAGUCACUAGUGAAAAGAGCCUACUUCAGACAAAUAAGAAAAGAAGAGAAUACUCCAAGACAGAUGUCCGUUUGCCUGAACUAAACUAUAAUCAUCUCCCUGAACUGAGAGCCUUGGAAGGGAUAGCUCGAAAUUCCAGAUUAAUAAGGAAAGAGAACAAAAGUCUCUCAGAAUCUCGAAUUCCUUCUCUGGCCACCAUUGACUUGCACACGCCCAGUAUCACAUUACAUCAGUUGUAUUUAAAAUACAAUAAAGGAGAAAGUAGAUGUGGUGAAAAACACAAAUUAGUACCAAAAUAAGAUGGAUUUAUGUGUGGAAAAUCUGAUUGGGAAGAGAAACAACAGGAUACUAAAAGCCAAAGGCUUUCUGGCAGAAGCUGUGACUUGCCUUGGACUCUCUAUGGUGUCAGGACCUUCCCUGUUAGAUGAUUCAGAGGCUGAUUUGCCUUGGAUGGAACACCAGCACUGAGAGUCAUUUUGGUUCUGAACUGGGUGCUCUAGCUCUUGGGAUGACAUCCUUUUGCAACAGAAGUGCUGAUAUCCUACGAAGAGAGAUUCAUGGUUUUGUCAUUUGCUUCUGAACUGCCUGCAUUUUCUGAGAAAGGCCUUGCAGAAGAAAAAAGACAGAUUUCCAAGUGUUUCCAACGAAGAUUGAAUAAGUGUCCCUCCCCAACUGCUAUCCUGUCACCUUUCAAGUCCACUGUUGCGAUUUUAAGAUACAUCCAAUGGAAUAAUAGUGAUAUGGUUCUUAUUACAUGAAUGUGUAUUUACUAUUUGUAGAUUGUGCAUUUAAAAUUACCCAAGAUUAAAAUGAGUUUAAAAAGGGAGAAAGAAACAUUAUAAUGGUCAUGUUGUAUGAAGUUUCUGUGUUAUCUGUGUAAAUGUGUACAUUUAUUUAGGAAUGGGUUUGGUGGAGGUGGGUGAUAAAAACUAGGAACAGUUGAAGAAAUGAAAAAACUAGCAUCAGUAAGAGAAACUGUUUCCUUUACCAUAAUUUAACUAUAAAUAUACAUUUAGAAAGCUUGCUUGUUUCUAGGCUGUAAGAAGAUAUGUAAUUGCUCUCUAUGAAUAGAUGUAUGUCUGGUUUCUGUGAUUAUUGUUGAUGUUUGAUCAUUGUAUUAUGGGAAUCUGUCCUUUCUGCUGAACCACACAAAUGCAAAUUUCUCAAAGAAACCUUUUAUUUCUAAUGACUAAGACUCUGACCUUAGAUAGUCCUCUGCAUUGUAAGAUUCUGGUGUCCAUGUUCCUGUGUGUAGGAACAUGACUGCAAUAAGAAUGGUAAAGGAGAAUUUUGUAGGUUUACCUUGGAGCUGAGGAUAUGUUUGUCAGUGGGAAAGGAGAUGGGAAGCUGGGUUACCCACUGACUAGGACUGAUGAUUUUUCUCUAGGCCAGUUAUUGUCGAUCUUCCCCCACCCUCAAACAAGUUUUGGGGAGGAAACAUCCACAAUUAUGGACUUCACUCCUGUCCGCUGAUAUUUUGAAGGUGAUACCAGACAGAAUCUAGAAGUGUUCUUCUCUUCUUGUUUCCUCAAAUGCUUAGACCUUCCUGAAAGUUCUUUAUCAAUAGACAAAACUAUCUACCUACAAUCCACACAUCUUUUCUUGUGCCCCAGUCCAUCACUUUAAGGUGGGAUACUUAAGCCAAUUUGACUCUAGGUUUUUCAUUUCUAGUUUGCUGGUCAUACUAUGCGUUCCUGGUUUUAAAGAAUGGUUGUUAAGAGGACCAAAAUUUGUGUGUGUUUUUUGCCUUAACCAGUUAACAACAACUUUUUUUCCAAAAGGCACUGACCAGAACUUAGCCCAAGAAUUUAACUAGUACUUUCCUCUAUUACUCUGAAUAGCUUAAUAUUGAAAUUCUGACUUUAGAUACUUGGUCCUCAAAAGAAUAGGACAUUCAAGAGGAGGCAAAUUGAGGGAUUCCAAUGUAGAAGUGUGUAGGUGGUUCAAUUAAAAUUCAAUUAAAAGCUUGAUUUGGAAGCUCUAUUUUUAACCUAUGACCGAGUGUUUGACUAGAUUGGUAUGACUAACAUGCUAGACAAAAUUAAUGUGUAGGCAUUAAUAGGCUUCACAUCAACAUAUUGUUUUAUUUUUAUUUUAAAAAGUAUUGCCAACACACUGUACAGUGUGGGAAGCAGACAAUAUUUAAAAGCCACGUGGCUUUCCAGCUUAUUUUGAUGUUAUUUUUAUUUAAAUAUCAGUGUGAACAUCUCACCUCAAUGUCUGAGGAUCUAGGAUCAAUUAUCUUUUCACUUCUAUAUUUGCUUUUGGUAUAUUUUGCCUAUUAAAACAUUGUGAACUUCAGAAUUAAGGAACUAAAUGUAAUUUACUAUAUGUGCAAGUUGAGACCUGAGUAUCAUAUCUGGUUAGAACCUUGGCAGAACUACUUGAAAAGGAAGAUUUUGGAAGCUGGGGCUAUAGAUACUGAACCAAAAAUAAUCCUUUCUUUUGGUUUAAGAUUACUUUGCUCUCCUGACAAACACACGAUUAAAUCUAAUAGGAAAUAUGUAUGUGUACUGGUGGGGAGAAAUUGGCUUGCUGUGUAGAUGUAUGUUUUAAAAUGAAUAAAUAUUAUAUCUUACUGAGCUCCACA